UGUCAGAUGAACAUUGGAAGUGACAAGAUUUCUGCACAGAGAGUUUAGAAUGAAUGAAGUUUAAGAAAGUUGAAAGGCACCCCUGAAGAACCUGAAUUAUUUUAGCCCUUACCUAGAUUCAUUAAUUAAUAUAUUUUAGUGUGUGAUAACAUGUGUGAAAUGUGAUCAAUUAUGUGACGAUUUUCAGAACUUGGAUUUAUAAAGAGAAAUUUUUCUUUGUAAAGUUUAAGAAGUAAACCUUUUUUGUCUGG